rnacentral:tRNA from 1 species
GCUCCCGUAGUUCAACGGCCAGAACAGCUCUCUUGUAAAGAGCAGAUCAGGGUUCGACUCCCUGUGGGAGCU